rnacentral:rRNA from 1 species
AGUGAACGCUGGCGGUAGGCCUAACACAUGCCAGUCGAACGGCAGCACAGUAAGAGCUUGCUCUUACGGGUGGCGAGUGGCGGACGGGUGAGGAAUACAUCGGAAUCUACUUUUUCGUGGGGGAUAACGUAGGUAAACUUACGCUAAUACCGCAUACGACCUACGGGUGAAAGCAGGGGAUCUUCGGACCUUGCGCGAUUGAAUGAGCCGAUGUCGGAUUAGCUAGUUGGCGGGGUAAAGGCCCACCAAGGCGACGAUCCGUAGCUGGUCUGAGAGGAUGAUCGGCCACACUGGAACUGAGACACGGUCCAGACUCCUACGGGAGGCAGCAGUGGGGAAUAUUGGACAAUGGGCGCAAGCCUGAUCCAGCCAUACCGCGUGGGUGAAGAAGGCCUUCGGGUUGUAAAGCCCUUUUGUUGGGAAAGAAAAGCAGCAGGUUAAUACCCCGCUGUUCUGACGGUACCCAAAGAAUAAGCACCGGCUAACUUCGUG